rnacentral:misc_RNA from 1 species
GGGUAGAGACAGCCGGGAGCGGAGGGGAGUCGUCCCGAACCGUGAGCCCGCGGGUGCGGUCGUGCGCCGGAAGUUCCCCCUGGGCCCCUGCCCGAAAGGCAGGAGAAGGGGUGUGAAGGGAACCGGCGCCCCAGGGUCCUGCCGGUUAGUAAGACCCGGCGUCCCGAGGCGUGUUGCGCCUCAUACUAAAUACCAGAGACGCAAUGCGCCUCGGGACACCGUCUGCCUCUCUGCUGCUGACACGCUCUGGCAGCACUUCGCGUCAUAAUAAAGUUAAGUUAUCACUUAACGGUCUGGCGCAUGUCGAUUUCGGCUCCGCCCGAUCGUC